UGCGGCUGUGCGGCAAGAGGAUACUUGCAACUCAGAGAAAUGAUGGGAUCGUUUACACUUGAGAAGAACUACUGAACAGCACGUGCCAGAGAUUGAGGUCCAGGUCAAACGUAGAAGGACAGCCUCACUGAGCAACCAAGAGUGUCACUUGUACCCAAGGCGUUCUCAGCAACAGCAAAUUCCUGUGGUGGAUUUCCAGGCAGAACUGAGACAGGCGUUCUUAGCUGAGACACCAAGAGGUGGUUAAAGCAGUAUUGGAACUGUGGGGUGGUGGAAGUCAACAAAAACAGGACCUAUCCACUGAUUGUGAAACUUUGGUCAAGCUUACACUGUGUUAAUAGC
rnacentral:lncRNA from 1 species